ACGGAGUUUCACAACAUUGGCCAGGUUGGUCUGGUCUUGAACGCCUGACCUCAGGUGAUCUGCCUGCCUCAGCCUCCCAAAGUGCUGGGAUUACAGGCACGAGCCACCACGGCUGGCCAAUUUUCUCAUUUUAGAGAUGAUAAAACUGAGGCCCAGAAAAGGUGAAUUCAGUAAGCCACCGCGAAAGGUGUGAUCACCUCUCUCCUGGGAAGACCUGCUUGUUGAUACACAUAUUUUAUAAAUCGGUGGGAGUAAUUUUAUCCAACCAAACAAAAAUCCCAGCCCCUGACCCUAGGGAAUGAAAAAACAUGGGCUUCCAAACCUAUUCUGGGAAAAGUUUCGUCAUAAGUGGAUUAACUUCUGUUCGACAAGAAACGACUUUUUGACUUUAUUAUUACCAUCCAACGUAACUGUCAAGACCUCUGAAGGCAAGCUGCAAAGUCAGCCAGCCACAGUUCCCGGAAUGCUGACAGAAGGCACAGAGGCAUGGCUCCAAGACAAAGAACUACGUUACUCACAGCGUUAGCAGGAGCCGGAGUAUCAUUUCCUGUGCCAGUUCCUCAAGCACAGGGGAGAUAAGAAGGGCAGGUGACAAGGGCAAAGGCAGUGAGCUGCAGAACAAAACAGGAGCCCUGAGCUAGAUCUCUCAGUCUUUCAUCAUGGUCAGCCUGCCUGCGCUUUGCUCUAAAGAGACACCAACUCCAUCUUCCAAGGGUGUAAACAAACCUGCCCUUUGCUCCAGAAGGAGACGCUGUCUAUAUCUCCCAAGGCUGUGUGCUAUACAAAUAUCCUGGAAAAGAUGACCUAGAAAAAUCACUGUCAUCGCCUCUGCUUGCAAGAUGUGCAAGAACUAUGGAGGAUUAUCUCCCAACAAUUUCUACCUUUCAUUUCUACACCAUUAAGCUUUUGGCAAAUGUUUCCAUGCAUACGCCAAUCCGUCAGCCACUAUGAUUAAUCCAUCUGACAGACGUUGGGGCCCAAUCUGUUCCACGGCACAUUUAAUUAAAACCACCACCAACACACUGCAAGCAGUAGGAUAAGGCCAACUUCAACCAUGCCCCAGUGGCCUGGACCCAGCCGCUUAACUCUCACAAACAAUGAGUUUACCUUCAAAAAUCAGCUAGACCUGAAUUUCCUCUCCCUGAAGCAGACCAACGUAGGAUUUUGGCCUUCAAUCCACUGAAAAAACCACAAAAAGUUGCUUCAGAGAGAGAAAAGGAGGGGCUGCGAAAUUGUCUUUAGUCUUUCCAUGGAUCAGGUAAAGUUGUCAAAGAGGAAAGAAGGCAGGUAGAUUUAUCUCUGGGACUCCCAAAAAAGGACAACAGCACACUGGCCUAUAGCGGGUAUUCUGAGGGUAGCGAUGAGAAGCCCCACCGCUUCUGGGAAGGUGGAGGAGCCUCAGAACCUACGGAUGGCCACUAGGAGAUGUGCCCCUGGCAAUCGUCCUUGGACUUGGUGCACCUUCCUAUAAAGCACUCACGGGAUAUGAGUCAGACACACCAGUAACGCCACGCUACAUUCUGGUUAUAUCAUAGGUUAAUUGGGGUUUAGACCCCAGCCUGGCAUCCCAGUCACCAAAUUCAGCAUUGUUUUAAAAUGUUUCCUAGAACUUACUAUGUUACAAAUGAGCUUGUGGAACAUGUAAAUGAGGGAGGAUUUGUGCAAAAGACCUUAUAACAUAUGGUGUAACAAUUAAAUUUUAACACUAGA